GUUCGCUAUGUUUUCUUACUAAUAAAAUGCCUUUGGGACAGAGCAGAAUUUUCACCUAUUUAGAAAUUCACAGGGGAAAAAUAAGACAGUACUAAAAUAAACUAAUUUUGGGGUUAUGACUAUGUACUCAUUUUCCUAAAGUUUCAAUUUUAUGUUGAAAACAGAACAACUCUAAGUGUGAAUAAUGGACAGUCUGCAAUGUAAAUAAUGGAUCACAGUUUCGUCCAUGGCUAAAUAUCACUAUUCAUGUAUUUACCAAAUAUUUACAAGUGCCUGCUAUGUGUCAGGUACCGUGCUGGCACUGGAGGAUAAUGAUGAGAAAAAGCCCUGUGCCUGCCCUCAUGGAGCUACAGGGAUUGACAAAGCCAUGCAGCCACGGAGGGCUUGACAGGAUUCAGAAAGAAGUCAGGUUGACUCAGAAGCCCUUGUUCCAUCUGCUUCCCCACCACGGAUGGAGCAAAAGAAGAAAACAUUUAGUACCAGGAUACUUUUCAUCAAGAGUAAGUAAUUACUGAAGUUAUUACUGACAAAAACUUCAGCCCUUAAAAUUUAUUCAGUUUUUACUUAAAGGACAUAUCCACACAAUGAUAUUCUUUCUUAUUUCUUGAUAAGACCAUAAUAAUGGCUGAAAGAACCAAUUGGAUUCAUUAAAAUUUACUAUAAUGGGAAAUUCUUGCUGGUUGUAUGAGUCAGUGAUUUGGCUUUGAAGUCUCAUUGAUAUCUCUGAUAAAAUAUUAGAAGAAAACCUUGGAGAACAACACCAAAUUGUUACUUUAGAGUCAUUAGAUUUGAAUUUGAUACGUCGGUAAUCAAAUGUAGAGCAUGGGCUAUAGCUUUAUAAUUUCCAUUCUCUGGCCAAUAUUAAACUGUAAAUUAAGAGAAAAUUCUUGAUCACAAUCAAAUUGAUUGGUUGAGGCUUAAGGGAAUCUUUAAGUUAAACUAAUGUCAAACAGGAUGCAGAAUUCUAGAAUUGUUCCAAUUAUAGAAUCAGAAUUAUAGAUUCCUAAAAAUUGGAUAAAUUACAGGAUUAUAG
rnacentral:lncRNA from 1 species